CCGGUUCUAACUCAAUAACGUGGUUCAGGUCUUUCACAUAUUUACGAAGCACAUAUAUAUGAAAAACAUUAUGAACACGAGACAUACUUGGAGGUAACACAAGUCUAUAGGCUACAUUUUCUACUCGGUCAAGAAUCUGAAAUGGACCAAUAAAUCGUGGAUUGAGCUUUCCUCUCUUCCCAAAUCUUGUAACUCCCUUCCA
rnacentral:lncRNA from 1 species